rnacentral:rRNA from 1 species
UAGAGUUUGAUCAUGGCUCAGAUUGAACGCUGGCGGCAUGCUUUACACAUGCAAGUCGAACGGCAGCGGGGGCUUCGGCCUGCCGGCGAGUGGCGAACGGGUGAGUAAUGCAUCGGAACGUGCCCAGUCGUGGGGGAUAACACAUCGAAAGAUGUGCUAAUACCGCAUACGUCCUGAGGGAGAAAGCGGGGGACCUUCGGGCCUCGCGCGAUUGGAGCGGCCGAUGUCAGAUUAGCUAGUAGGUGGGGUAAAGGCCCACCUAGGCGACGAUCUGUAGCGGGUCUGAGAGGAUGAUCCGCCACACUGGGACUGAGACACGGCCCAGACUCCUACGGGAGGCAGCAGUGGGGAAUUUUGGACAAUGGGGGCAACCCUGAUCCAGCCAUGCCGCGUGAGUGAAGAAGGCCUUCGGGUUGUAAAGCUCUUUCGGCCGGGAAGAAAUCGCGUCCUUUAAUAGAGGGUGUGGAUGACGGUACCGGACUAAGAAGCACCGGCUAACUACGUGCCAGCAGCCGCGGUAAU